rnacentral:lncRNA from 11 species
GUAUUGUGAUGCUUACUACAAAACUGCACUGAUGAAACAGAGAACAGAACUUCACUCUUCAUUCACAGCAACUUCUGAAAAAUCAGGAUAUAUCAGAAGCUGAAAAUUCAAAUUGCUGAAUAUAAUCUAAAUGUGUGUUGCCUAGAAAGAACUGAACUACAUUCCCUUAUAUAUGAGAGAUGUAUUGGACCUCCUUGAAUCACUGGGGAUAAAUUAUUAUCGAUUCAUUCCUGGACAAUUUGCUACAGCUGCUUUGAAUUUCAGUGAAAACUAGGAUGAUCUUCAUAGUGCUUAGAGGUGAAGAAGAAAGGAAGUACAACCUUCAUAAAGUAAUCAAUUUUAUGGGAAACUUCCUGAGGAAACAUGGAGUGACAAGAGUGAGAAAUACUUCUUCAGAAAGAAGAAAACAAAACAGACAAAACCCCUCAAAACUCAACAGCCUGCCAGAACUCGACUGGCAACUGUCACCCAGAAGCUGUUUACAUCGGGUGCCCCAAGACUUUGGAAUGACCUUUUGGAAGUCCUCCGACAGAAAGGGAGGAGUUGAUCUACUCUACAUUCUGCCUUGGCUCUUCUGUGCUGCUGCUGUUACCACCAAACCAAGACUGUGAUCUAAAGAUGAAAUGGUUAAAGUAUCAAGAAAAAUAAUAAUAAUAGCACAUGUAUAUAUCAGGAACUUGAAAAUAAAUUUCAAAUUCUCACUGACACUCAAAUUGAAAAUGCACGCAGAUGUGUGGGGUAAAUUACGCUUUGUCAAGCAGCAGGAGUAAAGGCACUAAAAGUUUUUGAACACUGCCAUUUCACUAAGUAUGAGGGGGAAUUUGUGGGUAGAUGCCUAGCCAGCAAGUCAUAUUAUUUGAGUCUGUAAUAAAGUUUCAGCCACAGCGAGAAUCACAGAUUAUGCCCACAGAGAACAAGAACAUACAAUGGGUCACAAAGUACCAUAUCACUGUGUUAUUGUUCCUGCAGAUGUCAAACAUAUAAAUAAAACCAAGUGCACUCUUGAAUACCUCCUUUGAGUCAAUAGUUCAGAUAAAGUAUUUCUGUUACAAUAAUGAAGCCUGGGCCCCAUUUACAUUUAAUGCAGUUUCAAACUGGUAUUGAAGAAAGCUGUUUUGCUGUGGAGGUGAUUACAUAGGGAAUCCUGGAACCACCUUGGAGGCCUGGGUGAUGACUGCACAAAGCACAGAGCACUAACGUGCAUUAAGGACUUUAUUUUGCACACUUUUGUGGAGUUUGUUGUCUAGCUUUAAAUGGUCAGUGUAGAUGGGGUUUGUGACAUUUAGAGCAUGGGCGAACAACCACAAUGGGUCUUCUGCCUCUGGGGAUCUCUGGGGAAACUACACAAGGUGUAAUAAACACUAAACAUUUUUUUAAAUGGAAGUGGUACUUUUGAAAAUACAGGUAGUUUCUGAAGUUAAAUAGCACAAUGAGGAUAUGCAGUCUAUUUAAAAAGUUCAUUUUUUUUGUUCCUGAAUGCUUACAAGCCAGGGAAUUCAACUUUUUUGGUAGAAAUUGCAAAGGCCAGGGAGUCUGAAGUGGCUAUGGGGAGCAUAAAUGGCUUUUUGAUUACUAUUAAACCCUUCAACAUAUAACAAAUGAAAGCCAAGACACAUAUGGUCAGAUAAUGUUGGAGAGUGGUCAAGAUGUCAAAAAUCAUUCAUAAGAGGCCAAAGGAAGUUCUGUCUUUUUUCUACUACCAAAGAAGAAUCUGUAAAUGUUUCACUGUUUCAGCAUUUCACUGUCAUGGGAUUUCAGGAGACAACACCUCCACACAUAAUGCACUCUGUGAUCCACGAGGUCACGAAGAGUCGAAAACGACUAAACGAAUGAAGAAGAAGAAACACUCUGUAGUUUCUUCUAUGCAGUUAUGUUUUAACCAGCAUUACGUCGAGAAAGGAUUAGGGUUAAUGGAGAAGAGAAGAUGAUGAUGCACCUUCACAGUAAAAAGUGCACUGAAACUGGUGGUAUUAAAACCACUUACAGGAAGCUGCCCACAUGUUAGUUAUGUAAGCUAGCCAGAGAUGCUUAGUCACUCAUCUAGCAAGGCAUUUGAGUCUAAAGGAGAAAGGCAUCAUGGAAAUAGUUUCCCC